rnacentral:rRNA from 1 species
ACCAGACUCCUACGGGAGGCAGCGGUGAGGAAUAUUGGUCAAUGGGCGGAAGCCUGAACCAGCCAAGUCGCGUGAGGGAAGAAGGCCCUGCGGGUCGCAGACCUCUUUGGACGGGGAGCAAGGCCGCCGACGUGUCGGCGGAAGGAGAGUACCCGUAGAACAAGCAUCGGCUAACUCCGUGCCAGCAGCCGCGGUAAUACGUAGGGGGCAAGCGUUAUCCGGAUUUACUGGGUGUAAAGGGAGCGUAGACGGUCCUGCAAGCCAGAUGUGAAAGCCCGGGGCUCAACCCCGGGACUGCAUUUGGAACUGUAAGGCUAGAGUGUCGGAGAGGCAGGCGGAAUUCCUGGUGUAGCGGUGAAAUGCGUAGAUAUCAGGAGGAACACCGGCGGCGAAGGCGGCCUGCUGGACCGUGACUGACGUUGAGGCUCGAAAGCGUGGGGAGCAAACAGGAUUAGAUACCCCAGUA